UACGGGGGGGGCAAGCGUUGUUCGGAAUUACUGGGCGUAAAGGGCUCGUAGGUGGCCAACUAAGUCAGACGUGAAAUCCCUCAGCUUAACUGGGGAACUGCGUCUGAUACUGGAUGGCUUGAGAUUGGGAGAGGGAUGCGGAAUUCCAGGUGUAGCGGUGAAAUGCGUAGAGAUCGGGAAGAACAUCGGUGGCGAAAGCGCUCUACUGGACCGCAACUGACACUCAGGGACGAAAGCUAGGGGAGCGAAUGGG
rnacentral:rRNA from 1 species